CAUACGCAGGGGGGAGAGGAGGGGGUAGUAAGGAGGGGGGGAGCGUUAGGUGGGUUAUCUGGGCGUAAAGGGUGGGUAGUGGGCUGUUGAAGUUGGAGGUGAAAUCCCCGAGCUUAACGUGGGAAUUGCAUUCGAGACGGGGAAGCUAGAGUAUGGGAGAGGAUGGUAGAAUUCCAGGUGUAGCGGUGAAAUGCGUAGAGAUCUGGAGGAAUACCGAUGGCGAAGGCAGCCAUCUGGCCUAAUACUGACGCUGAGGUACGAAAGCAUGGGGAGCAAACAGGAUUAGAUACCCUUGUAGUC
rnacentral:rRNA from 1 species